rnacentral:lncRNA from 1 species
AGAAUUACUGUUGGGAAGUAACUAUGGCAUUAAGGUCUUCCAAGAAGCAGAUGCCAAGAUGGGCUCAAAUGUGCAAGAUAUUUAUGGAAAACCACCUAUGAAGGACAAAGGAACAGAGAACAAGAGCCUUCCCCCAUGUCUAAUACCUGUGAAAGGAGAGAGAGAAGGAAGAAUUUAGUAGGAAGAGCCUGAGGUUGCUGCUUAGUUCUGAGAAAGCCUCAGCGAGGCCGAUGGAGAGCCCUUGAGCUGAGGUUGCCCAUUAGACAAAUUCUGCAUCAGGUAGUACUGGUUCUUUUCUAGUAACCUGGCCAUGCUCAGUCUUUGUGCAGGAGUAGCCCAGGAGAGCAUGGCCUGGGAUAAAUUCCUCAAUGAAUACAAAGUUGCAGCAGCUCAGCUAUGCUAGUCACAGCAGUUUCUUUUAAGGGAAAUCUGAGUAGAACACCUCCAUGGCUAUCACAGCCAACCCAGAUUGUGCAUUUGCUCAUGAACUAGAUAUGGCCACAUGAACAAUAGGUGAUAUUUCCCAGGAGACUCCUGGAGGUGCAAUGAGAUCUCUGCAGUAAGAGGUUGAAUGUGUACCUUUGGAUGUUCACAGAUGAGGGAAGGAAUCAUAAUUGGCUAACAAGAGGAGAUACAUUUGACUAUGUUAAGAGAACUGGAGGUGCUGAUCAGAAACCCACAAAUAUCUGCCAGGCUGGCAACAGACCCUAAAGAGAGAGAUUAACAAAAAACAGUUGAGGAGCAAGCUAAAUUCCUACAGGCAAUAGUGGGACCAGAGCUCAUAGGCUGGCACCAAUAGUACAGUUUGGUCCCAAGGAGAAGCAGCAAGGCCAUGCAGGGAAUCACAUAAACAGAUCAGAAACUGAAGUUUGGCUUGCUGACGUGACUUGCUCAAGGUCACAUAGCUACGAAUUGUAGACCUAGAACUAAAAACAUCCUGGCUCCUUGUCUAGUUUUUAUUGCUCUAUCCCAGGUUGUCUAGCUUAACUAACUCUUGCUUCAUGGAGCUUGUAGGAAAGGAUGCCCUGCAAAUGCAGGACGUAAGCAUCUGGGGAAUAUAUCCAAUCAUUCUUGCAUUAAAC